GAUGAACGCUGGCGGCGUGCCUAAUACAUGCAAGUCGAGCGAACAGACGAGGAGCUUGCUCCUCUGACGUUAGCGGCGGACGGGUGAGUAACACGUGGAUAACCUACCUAUAAGACUGGGAUAACUUCGGGAAACCGGAGCUAAUACCGGAUAAUAUAUUGAACCGCAUGGUUCAAUAGUGAAAGACGGUUUUGCUGUCACUUAUAGAUGGAUCCGCGCCGCAUUGGCUAGUUGGUAAGGUAACGGCUUACCAAGGCGACGAUGCGUAGCCGACCUGAGAGGGGGGUCGGCCACACGGGAGGGGAGACGGGGUCCAGAGGCCGGAGGGAGGCAGCAGUAGGGAAUCUGCCGCAAUGGGCGAAAGCCUGACGGAGCAGCGCCGCGUGAGUGAUGAAGGUCUUCGGAUCGUAAAACUCUGUUAUUAGGGAAGAACAAAUGUGUAAGUAACUAUGCACGUCUUGACGGUACCUAAUCAGAAAGCCACGGCUAACUACGUG
rnacentral:rRNA from 1 species